rnacentral:lncRNA from 1 species
GGGCAGCUGUUUUCUCAAGAGCACAGAGUCCUCUGUGCUCCUAAGCCGUUUUCGAUGAUGGGACUUCCAAAUCGACGAUUGGCUACGCUAAACUUGACCUAGUAUAUUUGAAGUAUGUAUAAAAUAAAUUUUGUGAUUUUUCGAUAUCGUUUACUUAGUGAUCGAAAGGGUUCAAAAUCAACGGCUGAAAAUAAAAAUCUCAUAAAAAGUGGUGAUAUGGUACUAAAAUAUUUGAUCAGAGAUAUUGAACUUGCUGUAGAUAGUAAAAAGAAUUUUCUAUCAGAAUUUAAUCUGAUUUGGAUACUUCUACGCCGUUAAACUUGAAACGACAGAUAUCAACCAUUAAAAAUUAUUGAUUUUAAAUCUUUUCGAUCACUAAUUAAACGAUAUCGAAAAAUCGCAAAAUUUAUUUUCUAGAUACUUCAAAUAUG